rnacentral:rRNA from 1 species
GAUGAACGCUGGCGGCGUGCCUAAUACAUGCAAGUCGAGCGAACAGACGAGGAGCUUGCUCCUCUGCCGUUAGCGGCGGACGGGUGAGUAACACGUGGAUAACCUACCUAUAAGACUGGGAUAACUUCGGGGAACCGGAGCUAAUACCGGAUAACAUGUUGAACCGCAUGGUUCAACAGUGAAAGACGGUCUUGCUGUCACUUAUAGAUGGAUCCGCGCCGCAUUAGCUAGUUGGUAAGGUAACGGCUUACCAAGGCAACGAUGCGUAGCCGACCUGAGAGGGUGAUCGGCCACACUGGAACUGAGACACGGUCCAGACUCCUACGGGAGGCAGCAGUGGGGAAUCUUCCGCAAUGGGCGAAAGCCUGACGGAGCAACGCCGCGUGAGUGAAGAAGGUCUUCGGAUCGUAAAGCUCUGUUAUUAGGGAAGAACAAAUGUGUAAGUAACUAUGCACGUCUUGACGGUACCUAAUCAGAAAGCCACGGCUAACUACGUG